rnacentral:tRNA from 1 species
GUAGAUAUAAGUUAAAUUAUAAACUAUUAAUUUUCAAAAUUAAAAAUUUAAUCUAUA